rnacentral:rRNA from 1 species
UACGUAGGUGGCAAGCGUUGUUCGGAAUUAUUGGGCGUAAAGGGCGCGUAGGCGGUUUGUUAAGUCGGUCGUGAAAGCCCGGGGCUCAACCCCGGAGGGUCGACCGAUACUGGCAGACUAGAGUACAGAAGAGGUAACUGGAAUUCCCGGUGUAGCGGUGAAAUGCGUAGAUAUUCGGAGGAACACCAGUGGCGAAGGCGGCUCACUGGCUCGGUACUGACGCUGAGGUGCGAAAGCGUGGGGAGCAAACAGG